rnacentral:rRNA from 1 species
CCCCUAGAUGUUCUGGGCCGCACGCGCGCUACACUGAACAGUUCAACAAGUCUUAACCUUGGCCGAUAGGUCUGGGUAAUCUUUGAACGCUGUUCGUGAUUGGGAUAGACCUUUCCAAUUAUGGGUCUUCAACGAGGAAUUCCUAGUAAACGCAAGUCAUCAGCUUGCAUUGAUUACGUCCCUGCCCUUUGUACACACCGCCCGUCGCACCUACCGAUUGAAUGGUCCGGUGAAAUCUCGGGACGGCGGCUUGGUCGCUUGCGUCCGACUGCUGAAACUUGAUUAAACCAUAUCAUUUAGAGGAAGGUGAAGUCGUAACA